UACGAAGGGGGCUAGCGUUGCUCGGAAUCACUGGGCGUAAAGGGUGCGUAGGCGGGUCUUUAAGUCAGGGGUGAAAUCCUGGAGCUCAACUCCAGAACUGCCUUUGAUACUGAAGAUCUUGAGUUCGGGAGAGGUGAGUGGAACUGCGAGUGUAGAGGUGAAAUUCGUAGAUAUUCGCAAGAACACCAGUGGCGAAGGCGGCUCUCUGGGACGGUACUGACGCUGAGACGCGAAAGCGUGGGGAGCAAACAGG
rnacentral:rRNA from 1 species